rnacentral:miRNA from 1 species
UGGGAUCUUCGAGAGGAUUGAGCC